GGCGCUGCUCUGCGGAAAGUUUGUCCCACCCGCGUUUCGCAGCUGGCUACAAGGAGAGGAGGAGGAGAGGGAGGGUCGAGCUCCGAGCCUGUGGCCGCAAGGAUGAUUGAGCCGGCGCUGCUCUUACCUCGCAGUCCUCGUACUUGAUAUUAUCCGUCAGUUUCCAAAGCAUUUUCAUGGAUCGCCGUGAACCGAUAAGUCCCUCUCUGCUCACACCCAAGUGGAGCCACUCUCUGGCUCUUUACCAACAGCCUAAUCGCCUCAUUAGCAUAUCAACAAUAGUCCAAUUGCUCGCCAGUACCACAAUCUGCCGCUGGCCCUUCCAGUCCAGGUUUCCUAGGUGAGACGUGGACAAGAAUACAGAACUCCUGUGGAGACGCACAACCGCUUUUGGAGUUGAGCCGAAAUACAGACAUGUGUGCGCCUGCAAGUCUAGAUACCGCCUCAUGCGUGCAUCAAAAUAAAUCAUUGGGAACC